GAUGAAGAACGUAGCGAAAUGCGAUAAGUAAUGUGAAUUGCAGAAUUCCGUGAAUCAUCGAAUCUUUGAACGCACAUUGCGCCCCCUGGCAUUCCGGGGGGCAUGCCUGUCCGAGCGUCAUUUCUGCACUCCAGCCCGGCUGGGUGUUGGGCGCUGUCCCCCCGGGGACACGCCCCAAAGGCAGUGGCGGCGCCGCGUCGGGUCCUCGAGCGUAUGGGGCUUUGUCACCCGCUCGGGACGGACUCGUCGGCGCUGGUCUUCCUCCAGGCGACCCUUCGGGGCUCGUCUUCCUUCGGUUGACCUCGGAUCAGGUAGGGUUACCCGCUGAACUUAAGCAUAUCAAUAAGCGGAGGA
rnacentral:misc_RNA from 1 species